AAUCCCAGCACUUUGGGAGGCCAAGGUCUGGGCUUGAUGUUCACCGAUUUUCCCUCAGCUCCGACUGUGGCUCCUCUCAGCUGACUCUGACCCUGCUCUCAGCCGGGCUGCAUCUGCCCAUCUCAGCACAUCAAUAAACAGCAGAGGGAAACUACCACCUUGGAAGGAGCCAGGCAGUUUCUGCUGGGUAGGCCGCAGCCUGGAACAUGGAAGUAGCUUCUUCCAUCCUACACUGGAAACCACCCAGCAUCCCGGGCCCUCCAGAGAAGAGCCAGACUCCCUUCCCUGGGAAGAGACUAUAGUCCUAUCUGUAUCCUCCGUGGUCAUUGCCCCUCAGUCACAGCAAUGAAGAGCAAAUUACCUGUUUUCUGUAUGUUCCUCUGACAACAACUGCCACAGAGUAAAUAUGAAAGGUUCUGGAUGAUUCCUUGUCAGCUUUUAUUAAAAUUCCACAUACUUGGCAUUUCUUAGCUAUCUGGGUUGACUCCUGGUUCCACCCCUUACUAGUUGCG
rnacentral:lncRNA from 1 species